rnacentral:rRNA from 1 species
CCUACGGGAGGCAGCAGUGGGGAAUAUUGCACAAUGGGGGAAACCCUGAUGCAGCGACGCCGCGUGAGUGAAGAAGUAUUUCGGUAUGUAAAGCUCUAUCAGCAGGGAAGAAAUAGCGACCUUUGGGUCGCCAGACGGUACCUGAUUAAGAAGCCCCGGCUAACUACGUGCCAGCAGCCGCGGUAAUACGUAGGGGGCAAGCGUUAUCCGGAUUUACUGGGUGUAAAGGGAGCGUAGACGGCAGCGCAAGUCUGAAGUGAAAUGCCGGGGCUUAACCCCGGAACUGCUUUGGAAACUGUGCAGCUAGAGUGCAGGAGAGGUAAGUGGAAUUCCUAGUGUAGCGGUGAAAUGCGUAGAUAUUAGGAGGAACAUCAGGGGCGAAGGCGACUUACUGGACUGUAACUGACACUGAGGCACGAAAGCGUGGGGAGCAAACAGGAUUAGAUACCCCGGUAGUC